rnacentral:ribozyme from 14 species
GAAAGAGAGUGGUCUAUAAAAAGAAAUAACGAACACACAGAUUCUACUAGACUAGAGCUUUUUUUUUCUUUUUUUUCUUUCCAACUUUCUUCUUCUUUUUUGUAGCACAUUUGCCAGAAUUAUAAUA